rnacentral:rRNA from 1 species
UACCCGCAGCACAAGUGGUGGUCAUUAUUAUUGGGCCUAAAGCGUCCGUAGCUGGCUUGUUAGAUGCCUGGGUAAAUCAAUGCGCUCAACGCAUCGAAUUCCGGGUAGACCGGCAAGCUUGGGACCGGGAGAGGCGUGAGCUACUCGAGGGGUAGGGGUAAAAUCCUGUAAUCCUUCGGGGAGGACCAGUGGCGAAGGCGUCACGCUAGAACGGCUCCGACAGUGAGGGACGAAGCCCUGGGGCGCAAACCGG